rnacentral:rRNA from 1 species
AAGGUUACACUGUCUCCUUUUUCUAAUCAGUAAAACUAAUCUCCCCGUGAAGAAGCGGGGAUCCUUAUAUAAGACGAGAAGACCCUAUGGAGCUUUAAACGAAAUAACAUCUACCAACUCAACCAACAAUUUCAGAAAAUUAACACUAAACUUGGUAUAAUGAUUACUAGUUUUAGGUUGGGGUGACCGCGGAGCAAAAAACAACCUCCGCAUUGAAUGGACUUACACUCCUAAACAAAAAGCCACAACUUUAUGUAUCAACAUACUGACAUCCAUUGACCCAUUAAUUUGAUCAACGAACCAAGUUACCCUAGGGAUAACAGCGCAAUCCAUUUCAAGAGCCCCUAUCGACAAAUGG